UACCAGACUCCUACGGGAGGCAGCAGUGAGGAAUAUUGGUCAAUGGACGCAAGUCUGAACCAGCCAAGUAGCGUGCAGGAUGACGGCCCUCCGGGUUGUAAACUGCUUUUAGUUGGGAAUAAAAGGGGGCUCGUGAGCCCCGUAUUGUAUGUACCAUCAGAAAAAGGACCGGCUAAUUCCGUGCCAGCAGCCGCGGUAAUACGGAAGGUCCGGGCGUUAUCCGGAUUUAUUGGGUUUAAAGGGUGCGUAGGCGGAAGGUUAAGUCAGCGGUCAAAUGUCGGUGCUCAACACCGGCCUGCCGUUGAAACUGGUCUUCUUGAGUGAGCGAGAAGUAUGCGGAAUGCGUGGUGUAGCGGUGAAAUGCAUAGAUAUCACGCAGAACUCCGAUUGCGAAGGCAGCAUACCGGCGCUCAACUGACGCUGAGGCACGAAAGCGUGGGGAUCGAACAGGAUUAGAUACCCUAGUA
rnacentral:rRNA from 1 species